GAGGGAAUAGCUCAGUUGUAGAGUGCAUGCCUAGCAUGCCUGAGGUCCUGGGUUCAAUCCCCUGUACCUCUA
rnacentral:tRNA from 1 species